AAUAUUGGACAAUGGGGGGAACCCUGAUCCAGCCAUGCCGCGUGUUUGAAGAAGGUCUUCGGAUUGUAAAGCACUUUACGUUGGGAGGAAGAGUUGUCGGCUAAAACCUUGCAAUUUUGACGUUACCAACAGAAUAAGCACCGGCUAACUUCGUGCCUGCCGCCGCGGUAAUACGAAGGGUGCAAGCGUUAAUCGGAAUUACUGGGCGUACAGCGCGAGUAGGUGGUUCGUUAAGUUGGAAGUGAAAGCCCCGGGCUUAACCUGGGAAUUGCUUUCAAAACUGACGAGCUAGGGUACGGUAGAGGGUAGUGGAAUUUCCUGUGUAGCGGUGAAAUGCGUAGAUAUAGGAAGGAACACCAGUGGCGAAGGCGACCACCUGGACUGAUACUGACACUGAGGUGCGAAAGCGUGGGGAGCAAACAGG
rnacentral:rRNA from 1 species